UUACAUUUUCAGCAGAUUAAAUAACAUGCUGCCCUCAAUAUUUUGAAUGCAGCUGUGUUUCUUGCCCUUAUCUCGGUUUAAUUCAUACUUACUCCUUAUAAACCAGUUAUUACGUAAAGACACAGUCAUCAUUCGACAUACUACCUACCACGAAUUCGAAAAUGGAUCCCCGACGGCGAUGCGAGAAAGUGCAGCUGGCGUGGCGCGCACACCAGCAGUUGCGCACCGACCACGCAAAACAAAAGCCUGUCACACUGGCAGCUACUAAUAACAACAAUAAAAAAAGUUUGAAUACAAAACACUGGCUGGUGAUAAAGUGUUAAUGCUCGUAAUGGAAGAGUUUUGUUAAUGUGAAAUUGAAAUGGAGGUGCUCUUGGAUAAUCGAAGCUGACGCGGUGACAUGAGCUAUUGAAUAGCUUUGUUGGGACAUAUACCAUUGGAUUACAGCCUAAGAACAAUGGCGACCAGACUUCUUCUUUCAAUGGUGGUACUCCUCUGCAGCUAUUCGACCAAUGGCGUUUCAGGCUCAGGCUGGUCCACCAAUGAGCUGGAUGGAAACGAGCCUCGAACCUUCGGUCCAUCACUCAUGGACGCUAUCUUCAUGUACAUGGACUCCUUGUUCGGCAAAGGAGGCGUCGAGUCUAACAUCAUGCGGGAAAUAUUCAACCUCCUUGAUGAUGAAAUUAUGGUUUUCGACAGUCAGGUCGGAUUUGCUGGCUAGGUCUGUUAUUUUUAAACAGCAUGCAGUAAGAGCUAAUGUGAUAGUUUUUAAAUUCAUUAAAGGUUACUUACCUAUUAAAUUAUUAAUUAGAUUUUAAUUAGAAAGAAAUAACAUUACACAAUAUUAACUAAG